rnacentral:rRNA from 1 species
GAUGAACGCUAGCUACAGGCUUAACACAUGCAAGUCGAGGGGAAACGACAUCGAAAGCUUGCUUUUGAUGGGCGUCGACCGGCGCACGGGUGAGUAACGCGUAUCCAACCUGCCCAUCACUUGGGAAUAACCUUGCGAAAGUAAGACUAAUACCCAAUGACAUCCCACGAAGACAUCUGAAUGGGAUUAAAGAUUUAUCGGUGAUGGAUGGGGAUGCGUCUGAUUAGCUUGUUGGCGGGGUAACGGCCCACCAAGGCAACGAUCAGUAGGGGUUCUGAGAGGAAGGUCCCCCACAUUGGAACUGAGACACGGUCCAAACUCCUACGGGAGGCAGCAGUGAGGAAUAUUGGUCAAUGGGCGAGAGCCUGAACCAGCCAAGUAGCGUGCAGGAUGACGGCCCUAUGGGUUGUAAACCGCUUUUAUAAGGGAAUAAAGUGGGUCUCGUGAGACUUUUUGCAUGUACCUUAUGAAUAAGGACCGGCUAAUUCCG